rnacentral:ncRNA from 1 species
UGCAUAAAUAGAGGCGCAGAUGAAAGGUGUAGCUUGUGUUGUUAAGAAUAAGAACAUUCGUGAUAUAGGUGAAGGGUUUAUCUGCCGAAAGGUUGUACUGGUUCUUCAAUACAGUCUUGGGAGUAUGGGGUAGUCCUAUGCUCUUGCCGUAGAUUAAUUUGUAUUUACGGAGAGCUAUUUAUGUG